rnacentral:rRNA from 1 species
UCUGACGCAGUGAUUCAGUUAGGAAAGGCGGAGGUGUCAUCCGGUCGAUUCCAACGGACCCUAUACGGGGCCGGGCCGGCGACACGGUCUCCGUUUUACCUGACGCAUUUCCUCCCGCACUAAGGACGCCGCAGCCGGUUGGGUAGCUGCGUGAGUCGGCCAUGAGGAUGGACGCCGGCAGGUGGCCGGUGGCGUCGCUUCGGCUUCGCCGCCGGUUGUUAGCCAGUCCGUCCGUGGCGCGACACCCGACCGAGGUUGAAUGGUUCCCGUAUGGGAACUCGCCGUCCCCUGCUUCGGCAGCGGGCCUUCUGGCAGGCGCAUCUCGGUGUUGCCACGUCACUCCUCGUAGUGGCCGGUGCUCCGAGGGUGCUGUUGGCUGGGAGUGUCCCGCGGGGGUGCAUGCGGCUAGCGGCGAGUAGGUCGGUCACCCACCCGACCCGUCUUGAAACACGGACCAAGGAGUCUAACAUGUGCGCGAGUCACGGGGUCUUGAUUAGGCCCAGAGGCGCAAUGAAAGUGAAGGUCGACCUCGACGUCGGCUGUGUUGGGAUUUCUCGCCCCUCGGGGCGGGGAAGCACCAACGACCCGUCCUAUCCGAUUUAUCGGUUGGGCGGAGUUUGAGCGUACACGUUGGGACCCGAAAGAUGGUGAACUAUGCCUGGGCAGGACGAAGCCAGAGGAAACUCUGGUGGAGUGUCCGUAGCGGUUCUGACGUGCAAAUCGAUCGUCAGA